rnacentral:misc_RNA from 1 species
AUAGGAACAAGCUUCGCCAGUCAACAUCUAAUUGGUAGUUGAGAAGCAACAUAGUCUUGAGAUUUACACGCCAAACAAUCACAUUGUAGCAUAUUUAUACUGUGUACAAGUUUUAAGGAAAUUCAAGAACACUGUAGUGUAGAAUAACUUUGACAAGUAGACAACGGGAAUGAAAAACAAGAAUCGCCAUACCCAAUAACAUCUUGAGAAACUCGUCAAGGCAGUUUAAAUUUUAGAAGCAGCAUUCCUCCACCAAACAGCAGCAACAAAGUGCUGCUAAACAUCCUUUCAAAAAUGAGGUACAGCCAUCGGAAUUGUCUUGGUAAUGGUGAUGCUCGUAGUGAUAAUGCUGAUAUGGUGGCGGGUGGCCGGGAGGCGGAGGUCACCCUUGGUUGAAAUACCCUUAAUACCCUUGAUAAGGUGGUCGUGGCCCUG